GACGAACGCUGGCGGCGUGCUUAACACAUGCAAGUCGAACGGAAAGGCCCUGCUUUUGUGGGGUGCUCGAGUGGCGAACGGGUGAGUAACACGUGAGUAACCUGCCCUUGACUUUGGGAUAACUUCAGGAAACUGGGGCUAAUACCGGAUAGGAGCUCCUGCUGCAUGGUGGGGGUUGGAAAGUUUCGGCGGUUGGGGAUGGACUCGCGGCUUAUCAGCUUGUUGGUGGGGUAGUGGCUUACCAAGGCUUUGACGGGUGGCCGGCCUGAGAGGGUGACCGGCCACAUUGGGACUGAGAUACGGCCCAGACUCCUACGGGAGGCAGCAGUGGGGAAUAUUGCACAAUGGGCGGAAGCCUGAUGCAGCAACGCCGCGUGCGGGAUGACGGCCUUCGGGUUGUAAACCGCUUUCGCCUGUGACGAAGCGUGAGUGACGGUAAUGUGUAAAGAAGCACCGGCUAACUACGUG
rnacentral:rRNA from 1 species